CAAUUGAUCUUCUCAUCUAACACGGCCAGAAAGUGAAUAAGCGUAUUCCCCAACUAUUCUUUUAAUUCUAGCCUGCUUGUUUCACACGUACAGUGCAUUUGUGUAGUUAGUGAUGAAUUUGAGCUCAACUUGCAGUGUCAGCUACACAGACGACAGUUAUCUGCUCACACUUGCCAUAGCAGCAUUCUGUUUUCUACAUUUUCCCAUCAUUUGUCCAAACGGGUAUCUGAUUGGUGUUCAUGUCUUCAUUCAGGAAAGUAAAGACAUAGGUGUCCCAACAACUAUUUAAUUCUAAAAUGUUGAUGGUGGGGUUUUUAUUGGCGGGAGUUUACACAAAACAUUUACAACUCCAAAACUUAACUGAACAGUAUUCUCUGGCAGAGUGUUUUUUAGUUAAACGCUUGCAUCUACCAUUUUUCUUAUUGGACAUGAAUGCAGCAUUAUGACAAGGUAACCCAGGCAGCGAGUGACGAGAUCAGCAAGACUCAAAUCCAUCAGCAGCAUUUUAUCACUGGGAAGAUUUAACAGGAAUAUUGUGUCUCACAAAGAAAUGAAAGAGCCAAAUGAACUGGAGGUGUACAGUUCUCCUCAAGGAGCGGACCAAGGACCAGUCCAGCACCCACCCAACCCCUCCAUACCAAAUAUCAAAUGGAGAAAAUAAAACGAGAGUGAAGACCAGCAGCAACUUUAUGUAGUUGGAGCCAUAGAGCAGUCCCCAGCAGAGAACCUGAGAAACUUUAAGACAAUUGUUGAGGUGAGGAGAAAGGCAACACUACAUUCAUCCUCUCCACACCUUCCACCUAGGCUCACCUCAGCCCCAUCCCCCCCUGACCAAGUACCACCAAGUAGUCUUUUUUUUCUUCACAGCUGAUUUUUGUCUGAGAGGAGUGAUGUCAGCGUUUUACUGCUGCAUGUUGGGAGGGAGCCUUGGGUAGCUGGUGCAAAAUGGAUAAACUGACAUCUGUUGGCCCCCCACCCUCACAAGGCCACGUGUGUUCCCAUACAUAAGGCAUGUACAUGAAUGAAGUUGUACAGAGUGAAUGUAGACUGCCCACUAUGUUAGUUAGUACUGUCUCCUCAUAUGAGUGCUCUGCAUUCAGCUCACUAAAUAUACCUUAGAAAAC